UACACUCCUGCGGGAGGCAGCAGUGGGGAAUUUUGGACAAUGGGCGAAAGCCUGAUCCAGCAAUGCCGCGUGAGUGAAGAAGGCCUUCGGGUUGUAAAGCUCUUUUGUCAGGGAAGAAACGGUGAAAGCUAAUAUCUUUUGCUAAUGACGGUACCUGAAGAAUAAGCACCGGCUAACUACGUGCCAGCAGCCGCGGUAAUACGUAGGGUGCAAGCGUUAAUCGGAAUUACUGGGCGUAAAGCGUGCGCAGGCGGUUUUGUAAGUCUGAUGUGAAAUCCCCGGGCUCAACCUGGGAAUUGCAUUGGAGACUGCAAGGCUAGAAUCUGGCAGAGGGGGGUAGAAUUCCACGUGUAGCAGUGAAAUGCGUAGAUAUGUGGAGGAACACCGAUGGCGAAGGCAGCCCCCUGGGUCAAGAUUGACGCUCAUGCACGAAAGCGUGGGGAGCAAACAGGAUUAGAAACCCGAGUAGUCCCAUG
rnacentral:rRNA from 1 species